AGAGUAUUGUACCACAAUCCCAGUUGUUUGCAAUAAAUGGCUUGUCUUGAUUUUCCAGAUUAUAGCUAGAAGAUUGCCUCAAACGAUGAAUUGUAGAAUGGAGCAGGAUGUCUGUGUGUCUGCGUCUUCACCCGGGUUUUUCAGGCCACUGUGUCUGUGAACUUAGCUCUAUGAAAGCAAGAAGCCUAUGAGAAUUCCGCCAGGGGCAAGCCUGGCCUUGGCGCUUCACUGUCUUAGCGUGUGUCUGGCCCUCCCAUUCCUGGCCAAGGCCCACAGCCACCACAGAUGACCUGCUGAUGCCUCUGCUGAAAUCCGUGGCCACUGGCCAACAGCUUGACAAGAGUGUCAGCUCCCUCCCGAGACGAAAUCAGAGGAAAACGCCUCUAGUUUCUAAGAAGCACACAGGGAGCCACUUCUUUACCGCUAGCUCCUGCAGGAUCUGUGGGAUCCUGCAGGUGCUGGUUUGCCUCCUGAGCCCUGUCCUAAGGACACUCUGCACAUCGCCUCCUGGCAGAAUGCUCUGUUGCACUAAAUGCACCAACUCUGGAGGUCCACAAUGGUAUUGCACCAUGAGAGAAGAAUAUCGGAGCAAAGCUGGGAAAUGGACACACCAGGGGGAGCGAAUGUAAUGUUACAAUCCGAGAAAAUUAGAAAGGAGAAGAAAAAGCAAAUCCCAAUCCUAAACCAUCUUGAGAACAUUUGCUAGUUUAUUCCUUUACCCCAUGGCAACAGUUACAUAAAGUGAUUAUGUCCUUGCUUUAAAAAAGUGCUAUUCCUCUUCUUUCAAAAUUAUAUUUAAACUUCAAUAUUUACCUUAAUAGUUCACUUACAGAUGGCAGAAGCAGAACGGUCACACAUCCCUGCAACACAAUUUAAAAAACAAAAGAAAAAUAAAUUUCUUGCAGAAGUAAAAACACAACAUAUUCCAUUUAUUUCCCACACACUAAAAUCUUGUCCUCUCUCAGUAGAAACAACAAGCAAUAUUUUUCUGUGUAAAAGGGAGUGGAGAGUUUUCCAGUCUUCUCUGUUUCUCCCCAGACAGAUGGGCUUUCACAUUCAAGAGACACUGGAGCUGCCAUAACCUUGAGUGGACAUGAGCUUGGCCAGAUUGCACUGUCCAAAUGCCAGGACCCAGGGCCCCGGGGAGGUCUCUGGUGCAUGCGGCAGUGCUCUUGGAGGAUCUUGAUCACUCCAGCGCAUUCCUUGCAGCAAUCUGCACUUGGAACAGCGUUUGAUAUGGAAGGAAACACUAGUAUAAUAUCAAGUUGUGUAUAAUUGCAAAACUUGCUGUCUCGGAUGUGAAAUAAAUUCGGCUAAUUUGUUGGUAGGAGCUAUCAUAGUAUUUUUUUGGUAUCAAUGUCACUGGAGACUAUAUCCCUGAAUAAGUGCCAGGCACUGGCUCUGAACUAACUAAAUGCUUUGCAUGUGUUAUUUCAUUAAAUCCUCACAAUAA
rnacentral:lncRNA from 1 species